rnacentral:rRNA from 1 species
GACGAACGCUGGCGGCGUGCUUAACACAUGCAAGUCGAACGAUGAAGCUGGAGCUUGCUCUAGCGGAUUAGUGGCGAACGGGUGAGUAACACGUGAGCAAUCUGCCCUUGACUCUGGGAUAACUGCGGGAAACUGUAGCUAAUACCGGAUACGAGACUCGGAGGCAUCUCUGAGUCUGGAAAGAAUUUCGGUCAAGGAUGAGCUCGCGGCCUAUCAGCUAGUUGGUGAGGUAAUGGCUCACCAAGGCGACGACGGGUAGCCGGCCUGAGAGGGUGACCGGCCACACUGGGACUGAGACACGGCCCAGACUCCUACGGGAGGCAGCGGUGGGGAAUAUUGCACAAUGGGCGAAAGCCUGAUGCAGCAACGCCGCGUGAGGGAUGAAGGCCUUCGGGUUGUAAACCUCUUUUAGCAGGGAAGAAGCGAAAGUGACGGUACCUGCAGAAAAAGCACCGGCUAACUACGUGCCAGCCGCCGCCGUAA